rnacentral:rRNA from 1 species
UACGUAGGGACCAAGCGUUGUUCGGAUUUACUGGGCGUAAAGGGCGCGUAGGCGGCAUGAUAAGUCACUUGUGAAAUCUCCGGGCUUAACUCGGAGCGGCCAAGUGAUACUGUCGAGCUAGAGUGCAGAAAGGGCAAUCGGAAUUCUCGGUGUAGCGGUGAAAUGCGUAGAUAUCGAGAGGAACACCUGAGGCGAAGGCGGGUUGCUAGGCUGACACUGACGCUGAGUGCGCGAAAGCUAGGGUAGCAAACGGG